CGGCCGGGACCCGACGGAAAUUGCCGAAGGUGCCGGAGCGCACGGGGCAGCGCGCGGCAACGGCGGCGGCGGAAAGAGCCGAGCGCGCCGGCGCCCAGCAGCGGGGGGCGAGCGGCGGGGCGCGGGGACGAGGGGGAGUGGGCGCCUGCACCGCGGCCUCCUCCGCGCCGCCGCACGCCUGGCUCCCUCCGCCUGCAGCUCCGUGAGGGGAGCUGGGUCGCUGCAGCCGCAAAGCUCUGCGCCCCGGCUCCUGCAGCCGGGCUCUGUGGGUGGGGCUCCUCUAUAUGCCCCACCGGCUGCCCAGCCGUGCGUCUGGGCUGCAGUCCUGCCCCCAUGCAGCCUCCAGUUUGCCCGCCAAUCCCCAGUCCCAGAUUGGCUACAGCUGAGGGAGCAACGGUGUGUAGCUUUCCUCCCCGGCCUCCAACGUUUCAACAACAAUGUUUACCACACUGAACGACGAGGCUGCCGUUUGGUAAAAACAUCACUUUCCAAAGGAAAAACAAACAAAACACACAGAAAACAAAAAAUCCCUAAGUCCGGAAACAGGGACGUUUGCUUCCAAACCUAUGGUACCAUCUCAGGUGGAAGAAAAUGAGUCUCACUUGGGUUGAAUCGGGCGCACAAGAUCUCAGAACCACAUAUCCUUGAUCAUCACAUCGGCAAAACUCAUGGAAUGCUCCAAAAGAGAAGAUCAGUGUUUAUUUAGCAUUGGUCAGAAGACUUGGCUCCUUGCAUGAAGCUCUAGAACUGAACACUUGCAGUUGAAUGAAUGGAUGUGGCAAUCUGCAGACCGGUAAGCAAAACAGUGAGAAGAAAAAUAAUGAAAAUUUAUUGUUGAGUGCCACAGAUAUUUUGGCCGUGGUGAAGUAAGUGAAGUGUUUAUUUAAAUGCACUUUAUGUUUUAUUGGAUCCUAUGUGUAGUUGAAAUUCCUUGCCCUUCAUUUGAAGUAAGGAAUGGCUAUAAUGUGCCUUAAGAAUUAAUUUAGGGAUGAGCAUUUUGUCUAUUGGUUAAAACUCUGCCUAGACAGCUGCAUCCUGUAUCAGAGGGAUUGAGCCCAGGCCUGGCACCUGGUUGCAACUUCCUGUUGCUAAAGAGCCUGGAAAGCAGCAGUGAUGAUUUCAGGGUAUGGUCCCUGCAAUCCAUGUGGGAGACCUGGAUUGAGUCCACAGCUCCUGGCUGUGGCUUGGCUCAGUCUCUGGUGGGCAUUUGGUGAACAAGCCAGGGGAUGGGUACUCCCUUUGUCUCUGUGUAGGUCUUCAUUUUCUCAUUUGUGGUCGCAUGUGCACAUGUUCAAAGGAACAGACAUUCAAGCAGGCCUGCAGAGAAAUGCUUUAUUCAAAGACCAGAGGGCUCGUUCAGUCUCUGGAAUGAGUGUAAAGGCAAAGCACUGGGGCUAGCUGUUUAUCAUCAGGCUCACGUAACAGCUAUUCCUGUGUACGUUCAGGGAGAGGUAGACACGGGUUUGAUACAUAAUUAGUUAUUUUUUAUCACAUUCUCAUAACAAGAUACAUAUCUUUAAUGUCCACCUAGGGUUCCACAUUUCUCUGAAAACCUUCACAAGCUGGGAUGUGGGCUUUCAUGUCCAGUUGUGCACUCUAUGUCAAGAAUUUGCCUCAGUCUGUCUGUUGCUCAAAUAAAAAAAUAACCCACACAAUGAAUUCACUUCAUUCUUUUAAAUACAUAUGCUUUAGCUUUGCAAUACUGCUUCAUUGUUUUUCAGCUAUAUAGUGUG